rnacentral:rRNA from 1 species
AUUGAACGCUGGCGGCAUGCCUAACACAUGCAAGUCGUACGAGAGUUUUUAACUCUAGUGGCGGACGGGUGAGUAACACGUGAGAAUUUGCCUUUAGGAGGGGGAUAACAAUUGGAAACGAAUGCUAAUACCCCAUAUGCUUUUGAGUGAAACGGAUUUAUCCGCCUAGAGAGAAGCUCGCGGCUGAUUAGCUUGUUGGUAAGGUAAGAGCUUACCAAGGCGACGAUCAGUAUCUGGUUUGAGAGGACGAUCAGACACACUGGAACUGAGACACGGUCCAGACUCCUACGGGAGGCAGCAGUGGGGAAUUUUCCGCAAUGGGCGAAAGCCUGACGGAGCAAUACCGCGUGACCGGGAAGAAUGCCUAUGGGUUGUAAACCUCUUUUUUCAGGGAGGAAUAAAAUGACGUGUACCUGAAGAAUAAGCAUCGGCUAACUCCGUG